rnacentral:tRNA from 1 species
GCGGCAUUAGUCUAGUGGUAGGACGGAGGCUUCCCAAGCCUCUAGCGCGGGUUCGAGUCCCGCAUGCCGCA